ensembl:lncRNA
UAACAUUUUACCUUUAGUAUAGAUUUGAUUUAUUUAACCAUUGCUAUACUUUUGAAUCUCCUAGGGUUAAAAGGGCACUUAUCUGAUAAGAAAACAAUUAUGUCAUUUCAACUUGAGUGACUUGGAGCUUCUGACUCCGUGUCCCGAGUUUCUCAUUGACUGGGGAACACCCUGGCCGGCCCACAGGGCUGGAUGCUUCCCAUGACACUGGAGCAGGGCUCAGGUCCCUGGCCUCCAGAUGGGUACUAUAAACCCACUCUACAUUCAAGAUCAAGUUACACAUCACCUCACCAAGAUUACAACAAAUUCUGCCACUCUUUCAGUUAACGUUUGCAUUUCUUUGACUUGCUUAAGGUAUUUGAAUGUAUUUUGCUCCUGGCCCUUUAUAGUCUUGCAAAAUAAUUUUGUCAUCUCUUUGAAUUUUAUCAUCUGAUUUUGGAGGAGAUAAACUUUCUCCCCACUAUUCCACUUCCCCAUAUUUUUCACUUUGGGAUAGCUCCCACUGCCACAGAUAUUCACAUGGCAUCCACAGCCCUGACUUCCACUUCUGCCCAGGAUGGAAUAACAGGGACUAAAUUGACCCUCCUGCCUGAAACACCUAAAAAAAACCAGACAAAAUAUGUGAGAGUGACUCUCAAGACUUUGGACAGCAGGUAACAAAGGGUAAUAAUCCCUGAAAGACAACAAAUGAAUGAGUUCUAUAAUUUUCUCAGCUUACUGCCUUGAGAAAAAUUAGGGAGGGGGAGCCCAGAAACUGUCCACCAGUCUCCUUGAGUUAAAGAGAUGGAAGUAGGAGUCUGGGGCAGCCAAGAUGGCUAGAACUUGCAGAAUAGAAAACAGGAGAGGAGAGAACUUAGAGAGAAUUCUAGAGGUCUGUGGAGGGUUCCUUUCAUUCUGUUGAGUACUGAUCACUGGGUGCAUGUGAGGAAACUACCUGAGACCUGGGAAAGGACCACCUGACAGGAUCAUAGGGAACAGUCACCAGAGAUCACACACAGUUGAGAAUAGUGCUUAGUCACAAUAGCCAGACCGGAAACCUCAUAACUUACAGGGUAUUGGUUAGAGUAACUAAAAAGGGUCUUCCCUUGGGAAUGAGGAAAUUGAACCCUGGACUAAAUGCUGUUCUGGUACAUAAAAGAAAGGCCUGAAAAGAUCAAUGUUUCCAAAUAACUGCAUCCCAGAACAAAGCUUAAAAAUAUUUAUAGGAAUACAAAAAUAUUCAGCACCCAACAAGAUAAAAUGCACAAUGUCUGGCAUCCAAUCAACAAUUCCCAGGCAUGAAAAAAUACAUAAUGAGGAGAAAGCUCAAUCGAUUGAAACUGACCAAGAUAUGACAGAGGUGAUAGAAUGAAUAAACAAAAAUUAAAACCAUUAUUGUAGCUAUAAUACCAUAUGUUCAAAAAGCUUGAGAAAAGAUCGAACAUAUUAAAUAGGGACAUGAAAGAUAUAUUUAAAAGACCUAAAUUGAACUACUAGAGGUGAAAACCAUAAUGUCCGAGCUGAAAAAUACACUGCAUGGAAUUAAUGGCAGACUAUGAAUUGCAGAAGAAAAGAUUAAUGAACUUGAGACAGUAAGGAAACUAUUCAAAAUGAAACGGAGUAAAAAGACUGAAAGAGAUGGACAGAGCAUCCAAGAACUAUGGGACAACUUCAAGUAGUCAAUUAUACAUGCAUUAGGUAUCUCAAAGGAGUGGAGAGAGGAAGGGACAGGAAAAAUCUUUAAGGAAAUUAUGGCUUAAAAAUAUCCAAAUUUGGGGGCUGGCCCCAUGGCUGAGUGGGUAAGUUUGAGCGCUCCGCUGCAGGCGGCCCAGUGUUUCAUUGGUUUGAAUCCUGAGCGCAGACAUGGCACUGCUCAUUAAACCACGCUGAGGCAGCAUCCCACAUGCCACAACUAGAAGGACCCACAACGAGGAAUAUACAACUAUGUACUGGGGGGCUUUGGGGAGAAAAAGGAAAACAAUAAAAUCUUAAAAAAAAAUCCAAAUUUUGGGGCCAGUUUGGUGGUUAAGUUCACAUGCUCCACUUUGGCAGCCUAGGGUUCAUGGGUUCAGAUCCCCGGUGUGGACCUAUGCACCGCUCAUCAAGUCAUGCUGUGGCAGCAUCCCGUAUGCAAAGUGGAGGAAGAUUGGCACAGACGUUGGCUCAGGGACCAUCUUCCUUAAGCAAAAAGAGGAAGAUUGGCAAUAGAUGGUAGCUCAGGGCCAAUCUUUCUCACCGAAAAAGAAAAACUUCCAAAUUUGAUAAAAACUAUGAAUCCACAGAAACUCUAUGAACCCAAGUGCAAGAAACAUGAAGAAAGCUAGAACAACGCAUUUUGUAAUCAAAUUGCUUAACACCUACAAUAAAGAUAAAAACAACUGGGCAACCAAGGGAAAAAUGGCAAAGGAACAAAGAUAAGAAUGAUAAUAGUUCUCAUUGGAAACAAUGUAAGUAAGAAGACAGUGGAGCAACAUCUUUAAAAUACUGAAAUAAAAAAAAAAAUGUGUUGACAUAGAAUUCUUUAUCCAAUGACAAUAUCCUUUAAAAACAGAUGUGAAAUAAAGACUUUAUCAGACCUAAAAAAAAAAAAAAUGAAAAAAUUCAUCACCAGCAGACCUGCACUAUAAGAAAUGUUAAAGGAAGUUCUUCAAGCAGCGAAAUGAUAGCAAAUGUAAUCCUGGAUCAGUGCAAAGGAAUAAAGACCACCAGAAAUCAUAACUAAGUGGGUAAAUUUAUAGACUUUUUUUAUUUAAAUUUCUUUAAAAGAUAGUAGGUUUUAAAGCAAAAAUAAUACAAAUGUAUUGUGGGUUUUAUAGUAUAUGUAGAAGUAAAAUGCAUGGCAGUAAUAGCACAAAGGACAGAAGGGGAGAAAUGGAAGUACAGGUUGUAGGGUUCUCAUACUGUGUGUGGAGAAGUAAACACUUGACAGUAACAAUGCAUACCAGAAGCCCUAAGGCAAUCAGUAUGGAGUCUAGUGAAUAAACAAUCAAAGGAGAUAACAUGAAUUAGAAGAAAUAAUCCAAAAGAAGGCAGAAAAAGGGGAAAGGGGGAACAAAGACAGAUGGGACAAAUAGAAAACAAAUAUCAACAUGGUAAACUGAAACUCCAGCAUAUCAAUAAUCACAUGAAAUGGAAAUAGUGUAAGCACCCAAAUUAAAAGGCAGCGAUUGUUAAGUUAGACAAAUAAGCAAAGCCCAAUUAUGUACUGCUUACAAGAAACUCACUUUAAAUAUAAAGAUUUUAUAGGGAGAGGUUGGUAAAAGGCUGUAAGAUGAAUAAGAUCUGAGGAUCUAAUGUAAAACAUGGUGAUUGUAGUUGAUAAUACUGUAUUAUGUAAUUAAAAUUUUCUAGGAGAGUAGAACUUAAUUGUUCUCACCACCCCCCUACCCUCUCAAAAAAGAAAAUUAUGUGAGGUGAUGGAUGUGUUAAUUAACUAAAUGGUGGGAAUCCUUUUACAAUAAAUAUAUAUAUAAAGAUACAAAUAGAUUUAUAGUAAAAGGAUGAAAAAGAUUAACUAUAGUAGCUAUAUUAAUGUCAAACAGUAGAUUUGAGAACAAUAAAUAUUACCAGGAAUUAAAGAGAGUCAUUUCAUAAUUAUAUAAGGAUCAGUUCAUCAAGAUGACAAUCCUAAACAUUUAUGCAUCUAAUAACAGAACUUCAAAAUAUAUGAAGCAAAAAUUGAUAGACCUGCAAGGAGGAAUAGAAAAGUUCACGAUUAUAGUGAAUGAUUUCAACAUCCCCCUCUCUCAAUAAUUGAUAGAACAAGUAGGCAGAAAACUGAUAAGGAUAGAGAAGACUUGAACAACAUUAUCAACCAAUAUGACCUAACUGAUACUUUAUAGAACUCUCCACCAACAACAGCACAAGACACAUUUUUGUCAAAUGUACACAGAAAAUUUACCAAGAUAGAACAUAUUCUGGGCCAUAAAGUAAGUCUCACUACAUUUAAAAGGACUUACGUCUUACCAAGUAUGUUCUCUUAGUGUGUGUUGGUUGGAUGGUGGUGAGCAUAGCUGCCAUCUUAAAUAUGUUCUCUGAAUAUAAUGGAAUUAAAUUAAAAAUCAAUAGAGGAAUGAUAUCUGGAAAUUCCCCAAACAUUUGGAAACUGUCUAACACACUUCUAAGUAACACUUGGGUUGAAGAAGAAAUAAAAAGAGAUAUUAGGAAAUAUUUUAAACUGAAUGAAAAUGAAAACAGGACUUCAAAAUGUGUGGGAUGCAGUUGAAGCAGUACUUAGGGGAAAAAUUAUAGCACUAAAAUGCCUUCAUUAGAAAAGAAGAAGUUCUCCAAUCAAUGACCUCAACUUUCUCCUUAAGAAGGCAGAAUAAGAGCCAGCCUGAUGGCCUAGCAGUUAAAGUUCAGUGUGCUUUGCUAAGGUGACCUGGGUUCAGUACCUGGGCAUGGAACCACACCACUAGUCUGUCAGUAGCCAUGCUGUGGUGGUGGCUCACAGAGAAGAACUAGAAGAACUUAGAACUAUACACAACUGUGUACUGGGGCUUUGGGGAGGAAAAAGGAAGAAAAAAGGAGAAAGACUGACAAUAGAUGUUAGCCUAGGGUGAAUCUUCCCCUGCAAAAAACAAAAACAAAAACAAAAAUUACACAAUAGGCAUUAGGCAGCCACUGAAGAUUAAAAAAAAAAAGGCAGUUUGAGCUGGCUGGUGGUGUAGUGGUUAAAUUUGCACACUCUGCUUCGGUGGCAUGGGGUUCACUGGUUUGGAUCCCAGGUGCCGACCUAUACACUGCUCAUCAAGCUGUGCUGUGGCAGUGUCCCACGUACAAAAUAGAGGACGAUUGGCACAGAUGUUAGCUCAGGGCCAAUCUUCCUCACCAAAAAAAAUAAAAAAGUAAACAUUAAAAGAAAAAACAGAAUAAGAAGAGCAAAUAAAACCAAAAAUGUAAGCAGAAAGGGGAAAUUAUAGAGACCAGAGAGGAAAUCAGUGAAAAAGAAAAUAUACUCAGGUACAGUAAAUAGAGAAAGUCAAAAGCUGGUUCUGUGAGAAGAUCAAGAAAAAUGAUAAACCCCUUGUUGGACCUAUCAGAGAAAAAAAAGAAAACACACAUGACCAAUAGUAUCAGGAAUGAGACGGGUACAUCACUAUGAGGAAGAUAGAGAGGGACUAUUAUGAACAACUUUAUGCCAGGACGUUUGACGACUUAGUUGAAAUGGACAAAUUUCUUAAAAGACACAAACUCCAAAGACAUUUUCACUCAAAAGAAGUGAAUACCUUGAAUAUUAAAUAAAUUGAAUUUGCCCGUGCCUGAACCAUAUUGGAAGUGUUCUGUAACAAUAUGCUGAUUUUCGCCAGGCUGGCCUUCUCUCCAGUUUUUCAAGUGAGUGUGUGUGCUUCAUGUGCUUUCACAUGUGCAUAUGCGAAAUUUUGCAUGUUUUCUGUAGUUAACAUAAUUCUCACGUUUUACCAAAAGGAAACUUCCUUUCCAUGAUGCCAAGUGCUUGAGGGGAAGGGUCUGUCCUUCUGAGCGGAGAGGCAGGCGGAAGGCUUCCAAGGACUGAGUAUUUGGAGAUAUAAAAACCUAAAUCGCCGGAUUCUCCUUCCUGUUUAAAAUGACCUGCUUCUCAGAUAUUUGCAGAUAAUCUGACAAAGGGGAAUAUGCCUGUGAGCCAUGUUCCAGAAGCUAAUACCUGGCGGGAUGUGUAUAACAAAUUACUUGCUUCGAGUGUUACAGCUGAGCUCAUGGAUGGCAUUCUUACUGGAUUAUUAAAGGCUUCUCAGGGUGUUUGGGAACGCCUCUGUUUCAAGUUUAAUUCCACAAGUCCCUGGUGAGCGCAUUCUGUGUGCCCCUAUCUAGUGCUGGAUGGAUUCCCCGGGCCUUGAUUCCAGGACCUCCCAGCAGGAGCUUUCAGUCCAAUGAAGGAAACAGGUCUAAUUAGAGAACCAAAGAGAGACAAGAUAGACCUUUAGCGUAUGACCCACAGGCGCGUGCAGAGGCAGGGCCACUGUGGGCUGGAGCUUGGGAAAGGGACCAAUCUUAAGCUAAGUGGAGUGAGAACAGGAUAUCAGAGGGCAAAUAUUGGGCUGGAUGGUCUAUUGGGCCAACAGAGGAUAACGUUCCCCGGGCUGUAAAAUGUUCAACAACUCCAGUAAAAUUGGUAUGGUUUAUAAACCAGGUGAAUAAAAGUUGGUGUCUCAGGGUUUAGGAUUUAAGGGACUAGGAAAGCCUGUGUGGCUCCAUCUGGAAAGAUCCUUUGGGAUCGCAGUACAGAGGGGACAUCAAGCCCUGUGGGGGAUGUGAGCACCCAGAACCCCUGCUCAUGUAUUUCUAGGCACUGCUUUCUCCAGGGAGGUGGAGAGAGGGGUGCAUUGGGCUUGAUCUGCAGCAUUGAGGCUGUCAGUUCUUCAGCUUUCCUCAAAGCGGGGAGGGAUCCCUCCAACUGUCAGGUUGUAGGGAAUGUUAGUGAGGCAAUAACUUAGGGACGCUGUGGGGAGAGGGUCCUGUUUUGAAGUCCUUCUAUGGCUGUGAGCUCGUUUGUAAGAACUGAGGACACCAGAAGGCAGGAAUGGGGUCUGAGGAACUUGACUUUCCGUCAGGAGAACUCGGCUAAGCAGACGGCAGUUAUGAGUCCCAUUCGGGGGCCGAGCUGGGGUCCAUGCCUUGGGUCUGAGGUCUGUGGGGUGUUCAGCUUUGAAUGAUUGUCAGAGCACAGCUGCUCCUACAGGGAGACUAAGCUCAGAGCACUGAGAGAGGUGGGGUGCCAGCAUUCCGGGCGGAUAUUGCUCUUGGUGUAAGUGCCCCAGCUGACAGUCCUCUGCCUGUUGGGGGUGAGGGGGGCAGGUUUAGAACCUUUCUUGGCUGAGAAAAUGAACCCUGAGGCUUACUGCCAUUUUCUUAUGAGGUUUCUCCCCUGCAUGUAACCCUCAGAGUGAACACGCUGUGGCAACUUCAAACAAAAAUCAGAUUAACCAAACCAGCCUCCUCUCCUGGGGAAAGGAAACUGCCCUUCAAAAGGUAGUGCUGGAAAAGAAAAGCACGAGAACGAUGGGCCCCUCUCUAUACUAGUCUGAUCAGAAAAAUCCAAACUUCGAGCAACAUUUUUCACUUUGCAAAAGAAUCACUGGCUUUACAAAACCUUUAACUAAGGCUCUCUGCUGCAUCUAAAAUGUCUUAAUUCCUGAUCGCAUUGGUGACACUUCUGAUUGGAAGAGGAGACAGAAAUUAGGGAGACUUUAAAUCAAAAGCCUGGGGUCCCUGCCCCCUUGAAUGUUGAUAGACAAGCAAUAAGUACAGUCACACAGCACAGGAUUCCGUUUACAAGAAUCCAGGCAAGUUAAAAAAAAAACAAAAAAAAAACAGCUAGAAAGUAAGGUGAACAACAUUUGCUGAGCUUCAGAGCCCACUCUGUGGUGGAAUCCUGGAAUCUCAGCCUUGGAAAGGACCCUUGACCCUGCGCCCUGCUGACUGUGUACUCUCUGAGGUUUCCUGGCAGAUUGUCACGGGGCCUCUGGGGCUAGAACAUGUUCUGGGGUGGGGAGGUCACUACCCCCAUGAAAUACUCUCGGAUGCUGUAAUUCUGGGCAAACUAUCCCUCCAGUGGCGAUGUUAUCUGUCCUCGCUUGGAGCUUCCUCUCGCGGCCUCUGGUUCCACCCUGUGGAGCCACACCAAACAAGUGCAUCCUCUCUGUCCACUUUCCAGCUUCUUGUGGCUGUUGUCACACUUUUCUUGCAUCUGCUCCUGUUCAGCCGAAAUACCCUCAUUCCUACUUUGUCCUCAUCAGACAAGGUUCCCAGGCCCUCACCUUUCUGGUCUGUCUCUUCCUGGCAAAGGCCAGUCUAUCCAUGUCUAGCACAAGUGUGGUACCAAGAAUGACGUUUUGGGGCAUUAGGACUUGAUGAGCAAUCCCACUUACAGCCGCAGUGGGGAGAAGAAACCUCACAGUAGUGACUUUUUCUUCUUUGUAGGACGGUGAGAGUAACUAACCAAAAAAACAGACCUACUCCUUCUGCCCAACUUUAGUUAUUCAUUGACUCUCUAAUGAUGGGGCCAGUUACUUCUCUGGAUCAUUCGGGGUUGUGAGGGGGAGAGUGGAUAAAGGAGCAUCAGAGAAGGGGGGUGGGGUUUGACCUGCCUCUUCCCAGCACAGAAAAUAGGAUCUCUUUCAUUUGCAGUCCUAGAAUGUAAGCACUGCAAGAUCCUUAGAGGUCGCUGCCAUCAACCUCCUGAUGUUCAUACGACAAAACUGAUACCCAGAGAGGUUAAGCCCCUGCCCAAGAUCAGACAGAGAUUUAAUGACAAGCCCUAAACCAGAGCCCAAAUCUCUAGCGUUCUUUCCAUUAAUUUCUGCUGCCUCGACCUCUGUCCUCGGCCUAUAUGCAGACUCUCCCUCUGUACCUCCCCCAUACCCCGAAAGCUUGUUUUCCCUCUGACCAUUGUUCUUACCUGAAGGCUUCAUUUUGAAAACACAAGCCCGAAAGUCAGAAGAUGCCUUGGCACCUUUUUUUUUUCCCACGAGAAUCUUUCGCACUGUGGUUAGUGGAGGAAGCUGACUUUAGCAAUCUAGGUGACGUGGUGGUUAUCAAGAGAGAACAGUGGCCGUUGAGAUCAUGUAUGUGUCUAAAUAUGUCAGGUGCAAGAGCUGUCUUGUCCUACUGAGGCUACAGGAAAUGUCUUCACCCAGAAAUGCAGGUCGCAGAUAGGUCAGACAGAUAGCACAGUACCAGGGGUCAAACCAGCCACAGCGUGGUUUCUCUGGACAUGUGGCCCCUCUAGGCCCAGGGGAACAGAAAUGCCUAUCUCUAGAGCAUGCCUGAGUGUUCACAUGGGCACCCAUAGGGAGAAAACAAAAUUUCUGCAGAGUCAAAGGUCAUCUUUAAUUUUAAUCUCUGGUCCACUCACUGCCUCUAGGAUAUAUCUUGGACAUUCUAUAUGGUCUUUUGUUUCUCUAUGUUUUCCAUUCAUUCCCUCAUUCAAUAAUUAUUUUUGAGUGCCUCCCUUAUGCCAUCGUCUCUUCCCCCUUCCCUGUGUAGCUGGAUUCUACCCUGAAUCCUUUAAGAUUCAACUGUUAGCCAGUUGAAUCCUUCGGGAUGCCUUUGUUGUCUACCUCAGCCCAUAGAAUUUUCCCUUUGCUCUUUCUGCUGCCUGUAGCCCUCAUCUGCUUUAGACACGUAAGACUCUCAUGGAUAGGUUUCGCCUUACCAACUGGAUAAACAAACUGAACAUUUGUUUAGCCAUUUGAAGCCAACCAAGUUCAUGUGUAUUUUCAUGUUUCAUUCUCACAACAUUAGGUAGGCAUUAUUAUCAUUCUCAUUGCAAAAUCAAGAAAGCUCAGAUUAAGAAACUUGCCUGUCACAUGGCUGGAGGUGACUGUGCAAGACUCAAAACUCAGGUUUGUCCAUCUGACUUUGAAUCUUGUACUUUUUCUCUUUCACCAAACUAUACUUGUCUUAAACUUCCUUUUAUUCUCUGCUGAGUCUUACACAUUGUCAGUACUCAACCACAUUCUCAUUGAUUGAAUUGUUCUGAAGUUUUCUACUCUAGUUAUAGGAGGACAUAUUCACUUGGAAACCAUCACAGAAAUAUGGAAAUGUUGGAUUAUAUUGUGGUGAUUUUUAUUUUUAGUUUUAUCCUGAUUGCUUGGGCUGAGCCUCGCAGAAGAUGAGGAAGAAGAUGAAGUAAAUGCCAAUGUAUUAUAAAGCAGCUUAUUUGUACACAGUUGUCACAUCAUAACCUACCCUCCAGAACAGAAGUUGAUUUCUGGGGUGGAGGAGGAACGGAAGAGUGUUAUUGAGUUGGCCUAAACAGAACAGAGGCCUUGAGAUCUGAUAUUUAGUGAAAUUCCUUACUUUUCAUCUAAGUGCCUUAGCAUCGCUAUCAACUCAGUUCAAGUUUGCUGUUUAAAUUGGGACUCUGGCUCUGUUUGCUUGUUGGUUUUUCUAUUUUUCAUGUGGGCUCUGGCAGGUUGCUACUCUAGCUUGAGCUUAAGAAAUUAGUUCCGCUCUCUUGAUUCAAAAUUAUGUUACCAAAUUAGUAAGGGUCCUUCCUAUACUGGGUGCCAGACUGAUCUAUUUACAUAGGCGUCAUGUCAGCUGUGAAUAAAGACAGUUUCAUUUCUUCCCUUCCUACCUGUGUUUUCCUUUUCUUGUCUUGUUGCAGUAGCUGGGACAUCUGGUAUAACUGUGAAGAAGAAUGGUGACAGUGGACAUCUUUGCAUUGUUCCUGAUCUCAGGGGGAAAGCCACCCAUUUCUUACCAUUAAAUAUGAUGUUAGCUGUAGGUUUUGUGGAGGUGUUCUUUAUCAAGUUUAUGAAGUUCCCCUCUAUUCCUAGUUUGCUGAG